rnacentral:rRNA from 1 species
UACAGAGGGUGCGAGCGUUGUUCGGAAUUACUGGGCGUAAAGCGCGCGCAGGCGGCCUUUUAAGUCUGCUGGUGAAAUGCCGGGGCUCAACCCCGUGCCCGCCACAGAUACUGGGAGGCUGGAGACGAGUAGAGGCAAGCGGAAUUCCGGGUGUAGCGGUGGAAUGCGUAGAGAUCCGGAAGAACACCGGAGGCGAAGGCGGCUUGCUGGGCUCGGUCUGACGCUGAGGCACGAAAGCGUGGGGAGCAAACAGG